CCUACGGGAGGCAGCAGUGGGGAAUAUUGGUCAAUGGACGCAAGUCUGACCCAGCAACGCCGCGUGAAGGAAGAAGGCUUUCGGGUUUUAAACUUCUUUUUAGGGGGAAGUGCAGAAGACGUUACCCCUUGAAUAAGCCACGUCUAACUACGUGCCAGCAGCCGCGGUAAUACGUAGGUGGCAAGCGUUGUCCGGAUUUACUGGGUGUAAAGGGCGUGCAGCCGGGAAGACAAGUCAGUUGUGAAAUCCCGCGGCUCAACCGCGGAACUGCAUUUGAAACUGUUUUUCUUGAGUAUCGGAGGGGUAGUCGGAAUUCCUGGUGUAGCGGUGAAAUGCGUAGAUAUUAGGAAGAACACCAGUGGCGAAGGCGGAUUACUGGACGACAACUGACGGUGAGGCGCGAAAGCGUGGGGAGCAAACAGGAUUAGAUACCCCAGUAGUC
rnacentral:rRNA from 1 species